rnacentral:tRNA from 1 species
GGGGUUGUAGCUCAACGGGAGAGCUUCCGGCUUGCACCCGGACGAUGCGAGUUCGACCCUCGCCGACUCCA